rnacentral:rRNA from 1 species
AUGCACUUCUACCGCGACCGCCGCCGCCACGUCAUCACCACCCAGACCGAGCACAAGUGCGUCCUCGACUCCUGCAGGUACCUCCAGCAAGAGGGCUUCGAGGUCACCUACCUCCCCGUUCGCCCCGACGGCCUCAUUGACGUCGCGCAGCUCGCCGAUGCCAUCCGCCCCGACACUGGCCUCGUCUCCGUCAUGGCCGUCAACAACGAGAUCGGCGUUGUCCAGCCGCUCGAGGAGAUUGGCCGCAUCUGCCGCGAGAAGGGCGUGCCCUUCCACACAGACGCGGCUCAGGCUCUCGGGAAGAUCCCAAUUGAUGUCAACCAGAUGGGGAUUGGACUCAUGUCACUGUCCGCGCACAAGAUUUAUGGACCCAAGGGUGUCGGUGCGCUCUACCUGCGCCGCCGCCCUCGCAUUCGUGUGGAGCCACAGAUGAGUGGAGGUGGCCAGGAACGGGGCAUCCGCAGUGGUACGGUGCCCACGCCCAUCGUUGUUGGAUUUGGUGCUGCCUGCGAAAUUGCAGCCAAAGAGAUGGACUACGACGAGAGGAGAGUUAGCGCUCUGCAGCAGCGUCUGCUUGAUGGCAUCCGUUCCAAGGUUGAUGAUGUUGUCAUCAAUGGUAGCAUGGAGCACCGGUAUGCGGGCAACCUGAACUUGUCAUUUGCAUAUGUCGAGGGCGAGAGCUUGCUGAUGGGGCUGAAGGAGGUGGCUGUGUCAAGUGGCAGCGCAUGCACCAGUGCUAGUUUGGAGCCUUCCUAUGUGCUCCGGGCGCUUGGUGUGGAUGAGGACAUGGCACACACCUCGAUUCGCUUUGGCAUUGGCCGCUUCACCACCGAGGAAGAGGUGGACAGAGCAACUGAGCUCACUGUCCAUCAGGUGCUUAAGCUCCGUGAGAUGAGUCCACUCUAUGAGAUGGCUAAGGCAGGCAUCGACAUCAAGAGCAUCCAGUGGUCGCAGCACUGA